UACGUAGGGUGCAAGCGUUGUCCGGAAUUAUUGGGCGUAAAGAGCUCGUAGGCGGUUUGUCGCGUCUGCUGUGAAAACUCAGGGCUUAACUCUGAGCUUGCAGUGGGUACGGGCAGACUAGAGUGCGGUAGGGGAGACUGGAAUUCCUGGUGUAGCGGUGAAAUGCGCAGAUAUCAGGAGGAACACCGGUGGCGAAGGCGGGUCUCUGGGCAGUAACUGACGCUGAGGAGCGAAAGCGUGGGGAGCGAACAGG
rnacentral:rRNA from 1 species